GACGAACGCUGGCGGCGUGCUUAACACAUGCAAGUCGUACGGUAAGGCCCUUUCGGGGGUACACGAGUGGCGAACGGGUGAGUAACACGUGAGUAACCUGCCCACAACUUUGGGAUAACGCUAGGAAACUGGUGCUAAUACUGGAUAUGUUCUUCUGCUGCAUGGUGGGGGUUGGAAAGCUCCGGCGGUUGUGGAUGGACUCGCGGCCUAUCAGCUUGUUGGUGGGGUAGUGGCCUACCAAGGCGGCGACGGGUAGCCGGCCUGAGAGGGUGACCGGCCACAUUGGGACUGAGGUACGGCCCAGACGCCUACGGGAGGCAGCAGUGGGGAAUAUUGCACAAUGGGCGCAAGCCUGAUGCAGCAACGCCGCGUGCGGGAUGACGGCCUUCGGGUUGUAGACCGCUUUCAGCAGGGACGAAGCUUUUUGUGACGUUACCUGCAGAAGAAGCACCGGCUAACUACGUG
rnacentral:rRNA from 1 species